rnacentral:rRNA from 1 species
AUGAUAAUGACAUUGUCUGCCUAUGUGUCUGACCCAAAUUACGUGCCAGCAGUCGCGGUAAUACGUAGAAGACUAGUGUUAUUCAUGUUUAAUCGGUUUAAAGGGUACCUAGACGGUAGAUCAAGCUUUCUAAUAAAGGAAAAGGACUAAUUUACUAGAGUUACUUAUGAGGGGGUAUUAAAGUACUGCUGGUGUAGAGAUGAAAUUCUGUCAUACCUCUUUUCAAAAGAAAAACCAUGGCACAGGUAUAGGCGAAGGCAUCCCCUUAUGUGAUAACUGACGUUGAGGGACGAAGGCUUUGUGUAGCGAACAGGAUUAGAUACCCCAGUAGUCGAAGCAGAAAAUGAUGAAUGUCAUAGAUUAGAUAUAUAAGUUUAUUCUAUAAAUGAAAGUGUAAGCAUUCCACCUCAUGAGUAAUUUGGCAACAUUGGAACUGAAAUCAUUAGACCGUUUCUGAAACCAGUAGUGAAGUAUGUUGUUUAAUUUGAUGAUCCGCAAAAAACCUUACCACAAUUUGAAUAUUUAUAUUAUUUAUUGUUUUAUUAUUAAUUUUCUUGAAGAAAAUUAAUAAAGAGGCAAUAAGAUAUAUUUACAAGCGUUGCACGGCUGUCUUCAGUUAAUGUCGCGAGACUUUGGUUAGUUCCAUUAAAUUAACGUAAACCCUUACUUAUUUUUAUAU